GACGAACGCUGGCGGCGUGCUUAACACAUGCAAGUCGAACGGAAAGGCCCUGCUUUUGUGGGGUGCUCGAGUGGCGAACGGGUGAGUAACACGUGAGUAACCUGCCCUUGACUUUGGGAUAACUUCAGGAAACUGGGGCUAAUACCUGAUAGGAGCUCCUGCUGCAUGGUGGGGUUUGGAAAGUUUCGGCGGUUGGGGAUGGACUCGCGGCUUAUCAGCUUGUUGGUGGGGUAGUGGCUUACCAAGGCUUUGACGGGUAGCCGGCCUGAGAGGGUGACCGGCCACAAUGGGACUGAGAGACGGCCCAGACUCCAACGGGAGGCAGCAGGGGGGAAUAUUGAACAAUGGGCGGAAGCCUGAUGCAGCAACGCCGCGUGCGGGAUGAAGGCCUUCGGGUUGUAAACCGCUUUCGCCUGUGACGAAGCGUGAGUGACGGUAAUGGGUAAAGAAGCACCGGCUAACUACGUG
rnacentral:rRNA from 1 species